AAAGUACGCCCUCCGUCCCAAAAUUCUUGUCUUAGAUUUGUCUAGAUACGGAUGUAUCAAGUCACAUUUUAGUAUUAGAUACAUCCGUAUAUAAACAACUCUAAAACAAGAAAUUUGGGACAGAGGGAGUAGUUG
rfam:Triticum aestivum genome assembly, contig: Triticum_aestivum_CS42_TGACv1_scaffold_168137_2DL